rnacentral:rRNA from 1 species
UAAGUAGAUAGUGAAAGCGUGUGGCUCAACCAUACAUCCAUUAUCUAAACUGCUCAGCUCGAGGAUGAGAGAGGUUAUUGGAAUUCCCAGUGUAGGAGUGAAAUCCGUAGAUAUUGGGAGGAACACCGAUGGCGUAGGCAGAUAACUGGCUCAUUCCUGACACUAAGGCACGAAAGCGUGGGGAGCAAACGGGAUUAGAUACCCCGGUAGUCCACGCCGUAAACUAUGGAUGCUA